CAGAGUCAGGCCGGAGUCUCUGUCCUCGCGCGUCUUUCAGCAGCUUUCGCUAGGGUGCUCCGUGAGGCUCGAGCGCCUCCGCGACGCCGCCAAGCCGUGUCCCGUGACGUCACACCGCGAGCAGAGCCCCGCGAGGAGUGUGGAUGAGCCCGGUCACACCGCCGCCGAGGAACAAGCCCGCACGUCGGAUGUGAAAUCAUCGAUUAAACCAGAGCCUUGUGAUGACGACGAGGGAGAUGAGCAGCUGCUAGAUGUGUCAUUUGAAAAAUCGUCGAUUAAAUCAGAGCCUAAUGAUGCCGUGGGCGAUGAGCAGCUGCCUGGUGCGUCAU